UUUAUGUUUUUUUUGAAUAUAUGUUUAACAUUUUAAAAUAAAUGAUUUUUUUUUUUUUUUUUUUUUUUUUUUUUAAAUAACAUACUUUUAACGAAAAAAAAAAAAAUAAAAUGAAUAAAAAAUCGAAGAAACAUACAAGUGUAUGGAUACAAAACAAAAUUGUAACAUACGGACACUUGUAUAUAUAAAAAAAUGCAGUAUACGGAUGCUUAAGCACAUAAAAAGUCUAACAUACAGACAUAAAUGAGGGGGGAGGGGGAAAAAAUUACUCUUUUUUUUUUCAGCUUAAUUAUGUUCCAUUUCCUUUUUGAAAAAUGUAACUUCUUUUUAUUAAUUAUAUUUACUAAAAUUAAUUAUUUGAUAUUUGGUAUAUGAUUUUUUUUAUUUUUUAUUUUUAUGUUUUGUUCAAUAGUAAACGUAUAUGUAUAAGUACACGUAUACGUAUACGGAUAUAUUAACAUUCGAUGGCUUGUUUCAUUUUGUUACUUAAUUUUAUUUAAAUUUUUUUUUUUUUAUUUAUUUAUUUAUUUUUUUAUUUAUUUUUUUUUUUUUUUAAACGCUAUUAAAGCUAAAAAUGUACACACUUUUUUUCCCUUUUCUAAUAACAAUAUUGACACAUUAUUCAACUACCUAUUCAAUUUGAUUAAGUUCUUUUCUUUACACAUGUAUAUGUAUUUGUGUGUAUGUAUAUAUAUAUAUAUAUAUAUUUUUUUUUACGCUCUUAGAGCUAUUCUAAUGUAAAUAAAGUUGGCAUACAUCCAAAAAAAAAAAAAAAAAAAAAAAAAAAUGGAAAGCAAUUCUAUUGUACAAAAAAGCAUAUUAAAAACUACAAAUGAUAAACAAGAUGGUAAAUCAUCAAGUAGUUAUACAAAAAACUUUUAUAAAAGUUUAAAUAACUACGUACGAGAAUUUGAUAGUAUUGAAAAAAAAGAAAAUAAGAAUGAUGAAUUAAUUAAUGAAGUGUACGACAAACAGAACACACCAACAGUUCAACUAUUUAAUACAAGUUCUAAAGGUGGAAAUCGUUCAAGAUUGUUCGACAACCAGUGGAAAAAGUACAAUUAUAAUUAUAAAAAAUGGAAACGAAAGAAUAAACUAUGAUUAUAUAAAUGCCACCAAUGAAUACUAUAAACCAACAAACGUUGAAGAGAAAGUAACAAACACAGGAAUAACUAAUAAAACCUUUUUUCAGAUAAUAAUGUGUUGCA
rnacentral:lncRNA from 1 species